GACCAGACUCCUACGGGAGGCAGCAGUGGGGAAUAUUGCACAAUGGGGGAAACCCUGAUGCAGCGACGCCGCGUGAGUGAAGAAGUAAUUCGUUACGUAAAGCUCUAUCAGCAGGGAAGAGAGUGACGGUACCUGAGUAAGAAGCCCCGGCUAACUACGUGCCAGCAGCCGCGGUAAUACGUAGGGGGCAAGCGUUAUCCGGAUUUACUGGGUGUAAAGGGAGCGUAGACGGCGAAGAAAGUCUGGAGUGAAAGCCCGGGGCCCAACCCCGGAACUGCUCUGGAAACUGUGCGGCUAGAGUACUGGAGGGGCAGGCGGAAUUCCUAGUGUAGCGGUGAAAUGCGUAGAUAUUAGGAGGAACACCAGUGGCGAAGGCGGCCUGCUGGACAGUAACUGACGUUGAGGCUCGAAAGCGUGGGGAGCAAACAGGAUUAGAUACCCCGGUACC
rnacentral:rRNA from 1 species